rnacentral:rRNA from 1 species
AGAAUCAACGCUGGCGGCGUGCCUAACACAUGCAAGUCGAACGAGAAAGUGGAGCAAUCCAUGAGUAAAGUGGCGCACGGGUGAGUAACACGUGACUAACCUACCUUUUAGUGGGGGAUAACCUAGGGAAACCUGGGCUAAUACCGCAUAAUACCUACGGGUCAAAGCAGCAAUGCGCUGGAAGAGGGGGUCGCGGUCGAUUAGUUAGUUGGCAGGGUAAUGGCCUACCAAGACUGUGAUCGAUAUCCGGCCUGAGAGGGCGCACGGACACACUGGAACUGAAACACGGUCCAGACUCCUACGGGAGGCAGCAGUGGGGAAUUUUGCGCAAUGGGGGAAACCCUGACGCAGCAACGCCGCGUGGAGGAUGAAGUCCCUUGGGACGUAAACUCCUUUCGAUCGGGACGAUAAUGACGGUACCGGAAGAAGAACGCCCGGCUAACUCGCGCCAGCAGCCGC